rnacentral:misc_RNA from 1 species
GAUGAAGAACGUAGCGAAAUGCGAUAAGUAGUGUGAAUUGCAGAAUUCAGUGAAUCAUCGAAUCUUUGAACGCACAUUGCGCCCCAUGGUAUUCCGUGGGGCAUGCCUGGUCGAGCGUCAUUUACCCCCUCAAGCUCCGCUUGGUGUUGGGCGUCUGUCCCGCUUCGCGCGCGGACUCGCCCCAAAGGUAUUGGCAGCGGUCGUGCCAGCUUCUCGCGCAGCACAUUGCGCUUCUCGAGGCACCGGUGGGCCCGCGUCCAUCAAGCUCACCCCCCCAGUUUGACCUCGGAUCAGGUAGGGAUACCCGCUGAACUUAAGCAUAUCAAUAAGCGGAGGA